rnacentral:rRNA from 1 species
UGAGAGAGUGGACGGCCACAUUGGGACUGAGACACGGCCCAGACUCCUGCGGGAGGCAGCAGUGGGGAAUAUUGCACAAUGGGGGGAACCCUGAUGCAGCAAUGCCGCGUGGGUGAAGAAGCACUCCGGUGCGUAAAGCCCUGUCAGCAGGGAAGAAAAUGACAGUACCUGGACAAGAAGCCCCGGCUAACUACGUGCCAGCAGCCGCGGUAAUACGUAGGGGGCAAGCGUUAUCCGGAUUUACUGGGUGUAAAGGGAGCGCAGGCGGCGUGGCAAGUCAGAUGUGAAAACCCGGGGCCCAACCCCGGGAGUGCAUUUGAAACUGCCAUGCUGGAGUGCCGGAGAGGUAAGCGGAAUUCCUAGUGUAGCGGUGAAAUGCGUAGAUAUUAGGAGGAACACCAGUGGCGGAGGCGGCUUACUGGACGGUAACUGACGCUGAGGCUCGAAAGCGUGGGGAGCAAACAGGAUUAGAUACCCUGGUAGUCCACGCCGUA